UUACAGGGAUGACUGAAAGCC
rnacentral:piRNA from 1 species